rnacentral:rRNA from 1 species
GACGAACGCUGGCGGCGUGCUUAACACAUGCAAGUCGAGCGGUAAGGCCCUUUCGGGGGUACACGAGCGGCGAACGGGUGAGUAACACGUGGGUGACCUGCCCUUAGCUCUGGGAUAAGCCUGGGAAACUGGGUCUAAUACCGGAUAUGACUCCAUGACGCAUGUUGUGGGGUGGAAAGCCUUGUGCGGCUAGGGAUGGGCCCGCGGCCUAUCAGCUUGUUGGUGGGGUGAUGGCCUACCAAGGCGACGACGGGUAGCCGGCCUGAGAGGGCGACCGGCCACACUGGGACUGAGACACGGCCCAGACUCCUACGGGAGGCAGCAGUGGGGAAUCUUGCGCAAUGGGCGAAAAGCCUGACGCAGCGACGCCGCGUGAGGGAUGACGGCC